rnacentral:lncRNA from 1 species
CAGCAUGCAUAAUGGUAAUGAUCAACCUCUGCAGCAAGGUACCGCAAAGUCGCAAACCUCAAUGAAGCUGGGCAGAAUACGUUAAGGCGUGCUGGUGCUUUAGGUUUUGUGGCAUCUGCUGCCAGUGCUUUUGAUGCUGCAAAAGACAUAAUGGAGGCUCUUAGGAGCAAGCAUGCUAAUUUGGCUAGUGAACUUGAGGUGAUUUUUAUUCCGUGUUUUUAAGUUGCUUCACAGUAAAUGCAUACACCCUCACCUUCGCUAAUCCCUAUAAUUAUGAGUCUGCAUGCAUAAGGCUGCUCUUGUCCCUCAGAAACAAAUCAUGCUUGCAAUAAUAGUAUUUCAAUAGUUGUACAUUUUACUUGUUAAAUGGACCGUUGAGUCAGUGGUGAGUGGAAAUGAAAGACAUAUUGUUCUAGGAAAAAAGAGUUAGAUAUAUAAUAAACUUAUAUAUUAAGUUUUUGGCGGUGUUACAAGUCUCUUAUCUUUUAAUAUAUAAUUUUAAAUAUUUAAAUUUAAUGAUUUUUAAGUCGAUAAAAUUUUACAAUUUUACCUAAUAAAUUAUCCAUAAUUUAUCAUUAAAAAUUCACAAACAUAUUCAAACAUAAAAAUUUAUAACUAAUAAAAAUCAAAAUGCACAUAAAUGACAAAUCGGAAUAAGAAACAACUCAAUCAGAAAAAUCAGCAUAAACAAAGAAAAAUUCCAACAUAAACAAUGGAGUGAAACUCUGCACCACAGCACCAUCAACAACUCAAAUCAGAAAAAUCACUAUAAACAAUGCAAAAUCAGAAUCAUAGCAUAAAUAACUCACAAUUGAUUCCAGCAUAAACAAUUUGGCGCAUUGAGUUGAAUUGAAUCAAGUCAGUCCAUGUUUAUUGCUUAAUAACUUUCUGUUACGGUAAGUGUUACUCUCAUUGAUCAAUGCAGUUUAUUUUAUUCGUUUACCUCAACUUGGUGAGUCUACUUUUUGUCCAUAUGAUUAUCCCCAAUGGUUAUUUCUAUCAGUACUGCAUAAUCUAAUGCAUAAGGUGCAGCAGGCACCAUCAAUUCAUGUUGGAAAACACUAAGCAAUGCAUGAAAGAUGUAUAAUAUAGGAUUCCUAAAUCAUGGAGUCAUGACAAUUAAUCAAAUCUUUUACUUUUGAACAAAAGCAAAGGUCCUAGGUAUGCAGGCACUUACUUUUUUUGCCACCACUAGCAUAAAAUUUCCAGCCAUAAAGUACAAAUUAAAUAUAGGAUGUAGCUUCAACAUGAAAACUCUGUUUUGUGUUUCAAAAAGUGGUGGGCACAAGGAAAACUUUCAAGUAAAUAUAUUCAGCAAGAGAAGCUCUGAUUAACAUUUAAAAUAAUGGUAUGACUUGAAUAUAUUUGUAGUUAUAUAUACAACAUAGGUGACAAUCUACUAGAACAUCAAAGAUAAUGCUACCAUUUUAUGUUAUCAACCACUGACUAAGGUCUUAAACAUUCUUCAACAGAUGCACUUAUUAGAUUUUAAACCUUUCCUCACUUUGAUCCACUCUUCAAUUCUGUUUUCUAUUUUGCUAUUGCUGUUAAAUUUCUUACCUCAGGUACCAGUUGAUACAGUGAAUCUCAACAUGCUUCCUAUUCUUGAAAAUCCAAACACAAGCAAGGUUGCGAACAGAGAGAGAGAAGAGCUCGAACAGAGGAGACGACGACGGUCACAGAGCAUCCACACGACGGCGAGGG